CUUUAUCAUGUAGUGCCCUACUUUAUCAUGUAGUGCCCUACUUUAUCAUGUAGUGCCCUACUUUAUCAUGUAGUGCCCUACUUUAUCAUGUAGUGCCCUACUUUAUCAUGUAGUGCCCUACUUUAUCAUGUAGUGCCCUACUUUAUCAUGUAGUGCCCUACUUUAUCAUGUAGUGCCCUAUUUUAUCAUGUAGUGCGCUACUUUAUCAUGUAGUGCCCUACUUUAUCAUGUAGUGCACUACUUUAUCAUGUAGUGCCCUACUUUAUCAUGUAGUGCCCUACUUUAUCAUGUAGUGCCCUACUUUGUCAUGUAGUGCCCUAUUUUAUCAUGUAGUGCCCUACUUUAUCAUGUAGUGCCCUACUUUAUCAUGUAGUGCCCUACUUUAUCAUGUAGUGCCCUAUUUUAUCAUGUAGUGCCCUACUUUAUCAUGUAGUGCCCUACUUUAUCAUGUAGUGCCCUACUUUAUCAUGUAGUGCCCUACUUUAUCAUGUAGUGCACUAAGGAUGCAUUGAAAGAUGUCUUUAUCACAGACAGGACACCCUAUAAUACUGAUAUUAUCAGCAGGGAAAAAAUAAAACAGGGACUAAAGAAUAAGAUGGACAGGUUGAGGAUGUUUUAGUCAGAUUAAAACAGGAUGAGACCAACGAAAAUAACUGCAAUGCAAAGUUACACACACACACACACACACACACACACACACACACACACACACACACAC